GGCCCGUUAGUCUAGUGGUUAAGACAGCCGACUUUCCCUCGGUUAACAGGAGUUCGAAUCUCCUACGGGUUACCA
rnacentral:tRNA from 1 species